UGCAAGUCGAACGGGAAACACGGAUAGCUUGCUAACUGUGUUUCUAGUGGCGAAGGGGUGAGUAUCACGUGAGCAACCUGCCCGGAAGCGGGGCAUAGCCUGGGGAAACUCGGAUUAAUACCGCAUACGAUCCCUCCUAGCAUUAGGGGUGGAUCAAAGGUGGGGACCCUUCGGGGCCCGCCACUUCCGGAUGGGCUCGCGGCCUAUCAGCUUGUUGGUGAGGUAACGGCCCACCAAGGCGACGACGGGUAGCUGGUCUGAGAGGAUGGUCAGCCACACUGGAACUGAGACACGGUCCAGACACCUACGGGUGGCAGCAGUCGAGAAUCAUUCGCAAUGGGCGAAAGCCUGACGGUGCGACGCCGCGUGGAGGAUGACGGUCUUCGGAUUGUAAACUCCUGUCAUCAGGGAGUAAGGCAGUAGUCAUUAAUACCGAUUGCUGUUGAUAGUACCUGAAGAGGAAGAGACGGCUAACUCUGUGCCAGCAGCCGCGGUAAUACAGAGGUCUCAAGCGUUGUUCGGAUUUACUGGGCGUAAAGAGUGCGUAGGCGGCGAGGUAAGUCAGAUGUGAAAGCUCGGGGCUCAACCCCGAAAUUGCAUCCGAUACUGCCUUGCUAGAGUAAUGGAGGGGGGUCUGGAAUUCACGGUGUAGCAGUGAAAUGCGUAGAGAUCGUGAGGAACACUAGUGGCGAAGGCGAGACCCUGGACAUUUACUGACGCUGAGGCACGAAGGCUAGGGUAGCGAAGCGGAUUAGAUACCCGCGUAGU
rnacentral:rRNA from 1 species